rnacentral:rRNA from 1 species
UACAGAGGUCUCAAGCGUUGUUCGGAUUCAUUGGGCGUAAAGGGUGUGUAGGUGGCGCCGUAAGUGGGGUGUGAAAUCUCGGGGCUUAACUCCGAAACUGCAUUCCAUACUGCGGUGCUUGAGGACUGGAGAGGAGACUGGAAUUCAUGGUGUAGCAGUGAAAUGCGUAGAGAUCAUGAGGAAGACCAGUGGCGAAGGCGGGGUCUCUGGACAGUUCCUGACACUGAGACACGAAGGCCAGGGGGAGCAAACAGG